UCCAUUGCUGCGGGAGGAGAGAGGGCGAGGUGAUUGAGUAGACGCCGCGCAAUUUUGGGGCGAGAGGGCGAUUGGCUGCCUAGCCCGGUGUAGCUAGUUUCUUAUCCGGUUUUGUGUUUUUUUGUGUGUGUGAUGAGAACUUUCCUACACCAUUUCAUUUUAGGAAAAACUCUAGAUAAAACCUCGAAUUCGUACUUCAAGUCUGAAUCAAAACCCAAACUCGAAAUCCUUGAAACUGACACCCUAAUCUCUCUGAUCCUGGCUAAUCCUGGCUGAUUUAUGCUAACUGGUCGCUUUCAAGAACGGGAUCGCUUACGUGGCAGGGAUUAAGGGAAAUAAGAUGCCACAUAGUGCUGACAGGGGGCCCAACUCAGUAGUCAGCUCGUCGGCCACACGGGGUUGAGAAGGGGGAUUGAGGUGGGGAAUUUUUCAAGGGUUCGUCGGCGGCAUAAAUCAGAGGAGAGGCGGCUCCGGCAUGAAUCAGAGAAGGCAGGCGGGCGGCGGAGGAGGGCAGCACUCAGAUGUCUUCCUCCUCCGGCGCAGCGUACCCUAGAGGUGGGGGCGGGCGGAGGAGGGCAUACGAACCGGCGAAAAGGUGCCCCGCUGGAUUUCCUGGAGUGAUGACAACCCAGGAAGAAGGUACUAUUGCCGCGUCUAUGGAAUUGCAACUGCUUUUGAUCUUCGAGAUGUACCGAGGAGGAUUGAGGAUGAACUCUAUGAUGGACAACAAGCAUGGCAGAGAAAUGUAGCAGAUGGUGCACACGGACAACAAGUUGAAGUGAUGAGGGAGAGAGUUGCAACAACUAUUCCAUUGAUUGAGAAAGUAGAAGAGAACAAUGUUGAGAUUGAGGCAUUGAGGGGCAGAGAACUGUAGCAUUGUUUAGGACUGCUGUAUGGCAUCAUGAUAUUUCUGUUAGGAGUAGUUGCAACAAAAAUGCUAGGUUAUUAGAUCAGUGAAUGUAAUGUGAGCUUUUGGAACACUGAAUUAGCAAGUGACUGGAUGUUGUAAUGCAUUUGGUACCCUUUUGUAAGACCAACUAGCAGAAUAUGUCCAUUAUAUAAUGGAGAUUUGUAGUACUGUUGACAUCUUAACAGAGAUAUUGUCCAAAUGGAGAUUUGUAGUAUUGCUGA